rnacentral:rRNA from 1 species
CCCGCACAAGCAGUGGAGUAUGUGGUUUAAUUCGAAGCAGCGCGAAGAACCUUACCAGGUCUUGACAUCCCGAUGCUAUUUCUAGAGAUAGAAAGUUACUUCGGUACAUCGGUGACAGGUGGUGCAUGGUUGUCGUCAGCUCGUGUCGUGAGAUGUUGGGUUAAGUCCCGCAACGAGCGCAACCCCUAUUGUUAGUUGCCAUCAUUCAGUUGGGCACUCUAGCGAGACUGCCGGUAAUAAACCGGAGGAAGGUGGGGAUGACGUCAAAUCAUCAUGCCCCUUAUGACCUGGGCUACACACGUGCUACAAUGGUUGGUACAACGAGUUGCGAGUCGGUGACGGCGAGCUAAUCUCUUAAAGCCAAUCUCAGUUCGGAUUGUAGGCUGCAACUCGCCUACAUGAAGUCGGAAUCGCUAGUAAUCGCGGAUCAGCACGCCGCGGUGAAUACGUUCCCGGGCCUU